UACGUAGGGGGCAAGCGUUGUCCGGAUUUAUUGGGCGUAAAGAGCGUGUAGGCGGCCAUGCAGGUCAGCUGUGAAAACUCGAGGCUCAACCUCGAGACGUCGGUUGAAACCGUAUGGCUAGAGUCCGGAAGAGGAGAGUGGAAUUCCUGGUGUAGCGGUGAAAUGCGCAGAUAUCAGGAAGAACACCCGUGGCGAAGGCGGCUCUCUGGGACGGUACUGACGCUGAGACGCGAAAGCGUGGGGAGCAAACAGG
rnacentral:rRNA from 1 species